AUUGAACGCUGGCGGCAUGCCUUACACAUGCAAGUCGAACGCGAAAGGGGGCAACCCCGAGUAGAGUGGCGAACGGGUGAGCAAUACAUCGGAACAUUUCCUGUAGCGGGGGACAACCUCGAGAGAUCGAGGCUAAUACCGCAUACGAUCUACGGAUGAAAGUGGGGGACCGCAAGGCCCCACACUAUAGGAGUGGCCGAUGCCGGAUUAGCUAGUUGGUGGGGUAACGGCCUACCAAGGCGACGAUCCGUAGCUGGUUUGAGAGAACGACCAGCCACACUGGGACUGAGACACGGCCCAGACUCCUACGGGAGGCAGCAGUGGGGAAUUUUGGACAAUGGGCGAAAGCCUGAUCCAGCCAUGCCGCGUGAGUGAAGAAGGCCUUCGGGUUGUAAAGCUCUUUCGGCGGGGACGAAAUGGCGCGGGGUAAUAUCCCGCGUCGAUGACGGUACCCGAAGAAGAAGGACCGGCUAACUACGUGC
rnacentral:rRNA from 1 species